rnacentral:rRNA from 1 species
AUGUUAGAGCUGAAGCUCUGCAGUUCAGAUGUAACAUACCUGAAUAUGAUUGCAGUGAUGGAAACCCAAGGAUUUAGUGAAUAUGAUCUGCUGUUUCACAUUGAGAAUCCAGAUUUAGGGGAGAAAGGAUUGGAGAUGGUAGAGAGUAAUGCUGAGUUGCAACUAGUAAAGAGGCAGGUUGAGGAGUGUAAGGUUUUAAAUUUGCUAGUGAGGGCAUGUCCACCUCCUUGCAGCAAGUUUGAGAGGCAAGAAUUAUCCACUGUUGUGUAUGAAGAGCCUGUGUUAUAUGAUCUCAGUGAGCCACCCAUCUAUGCUGUUGAUGAAGAAGGAGUUGCCUUUGAAAGUCAGAGUACAGCUGCAGUUUAG